rnacentral:rRNA from 1 species
UUAAACCUCUUCCAGAGUAUCAAUUGGAGGGCAAGUCUGGUGCCAGCAGCCGCGGUAAUUCCAGCUCCAAUAGCGUAUAUUAAAAUUGUUGCAGUUAAAAAGCUCGUAGUUGAAUUUYUGSUGCAUUACUUUUGCUCCUUGACGAGUGUCUGUAUUGCGGCUUAUUUCGGAUUAUGCUUGCAUUUUCCGGAUGUUUACUUUGAGAAAAUUAGAGUGCUCAAAGCAGGCUUUUGCCUUGAAUAGUUUAGCAUGGAAUAAUAAAGUAGGACUUUGG